rnacentral:rRNA from 1 species
AUGAACGCUGGCGGCGCGCCUAAUACAUGCAAGUCGAGCGAACGGACGAGAAGCUUGCUUCUCUGAUGUUAGCGGCGGACGGGUGAGUAACACGUGGAUAACCUACCUAUAAGACUGGGAUAACUUCGGGAAACCGGAGCUAAUACCGGAUGAUAUUUUGAACCGCAUGGUUCAAAAGUGAAAGACGGUCUUGCUGUCACUUAUAGAUGGAUCCGCGCUGCAUUAGCUAGUUGGUAAGGUAAUGGCUUACCAAGGCAACGAUGCAUAGCCGACCUGAGAGGGUGAUCGGCCACACUGGAACUGAGACACGGUCCAGACUCCUACGGGAGGCAGCAGUAGGGAAUCUUCCGCAAUGGGCGAAAGCCUGACGGAGCAACGCCGCGUGAGUGAUGAAGGUCUUCGGAUCGUAAAACUCUGUUAUUAGGGAAGAACAUAUGUGUAAGUAACUGUGCACAUCUUGACGGUACCUAAUCAGAAAGCCACGGCUAACUACGUG